UACGGGGGGGGCAAGCGUUGUUCGGAAUUACUGGGCGUAAAGGGCUCGUAGGCGGCCAACUAAGUCAGACGUGAAAUCCCUCGGCUUAACCGGGGAACUGCGUCUGAUACUGGUUGGCUUGAAUCCGGGAGAGGGAUGUGGAAUUCCAGGUGUAGCGGUGAAAUGCGUAGAUAUCUGGAGGAACACCGGUGGCGAAGGCGGCAUCCUGGACCGGUACUGACGCUCAUGUGCGAAAGCGUGGGGAGCAAACAGG
rnacentral:rRNA from 1 species